GUCUAUGGCCAUGCUACCCUGAACAAGCCCGAUCCCUUCUUAUCUCGGAAACUAAGCAGGGUCGGGCCUGGGUAGUGCUUGGAUGGGAGACCACCUAGGAAGACCAGGUGCUGUAGGAG
rnacentral:rRNA from 1 species